GCAUGUUCAUGCAUCACUAUUGCCAUGCGAUAUCCUAGGUUGCUUGCAUUAGAUAUCACGAAUAUGUUGCAUUGCAUAUUAUGUUGUUGAUGUGGGUAAAUGCUGGAUGAUCCACUAGUUCCUGGCAGGAAGACCAGGGAGCCUUUGACUACGCCCCUGGCACUAUGAGAAAGAAAGACCAGGGAGCCUUUGACUACGCCCCUGGCACUAGAGGUGAGCAUUCGGUCGGUUCGGUUCAAAACCGAACCGAACCGAAUAAACCGAAAACCGAAAUUUUAGUUUUUAUGAAAACCGAACCGAACCGAUUUUGGUCAGAAACCGAAUCGAACCGAACCGGUCUGAUUCGGUUCGAUUCGGUUCGGUUUGAUCGGUUUCGAUUUUUAAUAUUUUUUUAAUUUUUUACAUUUUAUUUUUAGUAUUUUCAAUUUUAAUUAAAAUAUUUUAAUUUUAAUAUAAUUUAAUUUCUCUAUAUUAUUGAAAAAACAUAUUAUUAUUCCUAAUCGGUUCGGUUCGGUUUUUUUGAUUUUUUUCUGAUCAAAACCGAACCGAACCGAAAUAACCAAAAUUUCUGAAAUUUAAAACCGAACCGAACCGAAAUGUAUAAAAAACCGAACCAAAUUUUCAAAUCGGUUCGGUUCGGUCGGUUUUUUCGGUUUGAACCGGAUUCUGCUCACCCCUACCUGGCACCAUGGGACGCCAAGACCAAGUGCCUAAUAAGGCCUUGGGCCAGUGUAAGUUAUGUUAUGUUUACAGGAAGUCCAGUGAGCCUUUGACUACGCCGCUGGCAAUAGUUAUGACGAUGGGACUAGUUGGUGACAGGUUUACCCUUG
rnacentral:lncRNA from 1 species